AACUUGAUUUUGCGGCAAAAGCGUGACUUUGGACGACAUCCAGUCGGGAUGAACAUGAUGACGCAACAGCCAGUGUAAACAAAGCUGCUAGUACAAUAUCGGUAGAGAAGAAAAAGAGAAAGAGGGCAACCAAAAUGGUCUCACACAAUGAGAGGAGACUCACAAUACGUGAUGGCUUACAAACAUCUUGGAGCUGAGCCAUGUGCAGAAAGAACAACAAGUAACAGGAAAGCAGUAGAAACUCUCCAUGG